rnacentral:rRNA from 1 species
GAUGAACGCUGGCGGCGUGCCUAAUACAUGCAAGUCGAGCGAACGGACGGGAAGCUUGCUUCUCUGAUGUUAGCGGCGGACGGGUGAGUAACACGUGGAUAACCUACCUAUAAGACUGGGAUAACUUCGGGAAACCGUAGCUAAUACCGGAUAAUAUUUUGAACCGCAUGGUUCAAAAGUGAAAGACGGUCUUGCGGUCACUUAUAGAUGGAUCCGCGCUGCAUUAGCUAGUUGGUAAGGUAACGGCUUACCAAGGCAACUAUGCAUAGCCGACCUGAGAGGGUGGUCGGCCACCUUGGAACUGGGCCACGCUCCAGACUCCUACGGGAGGCAGCAGUAGGGAAUCUUCCGCAAUGGGCGAAAGCCUUACGGAGCAGCGCCGCGUGAGUGAUGACGGUCUUCGGAUCGUAAAACUCUGUUAUUAGUGAAGAACAUAUGUGUAAGUAACUGUGCACAUCUUGACGGUACCUAAUCAGAAAGCCACGGCUAACUACGUG